AGGAUGAACGCUGGCGGCGUGCCUAACACAUGCAAGUCGAACGAGGGGGGCAACCCCCGAGUGGCAGACGGGUGAGUAACGCGUGGUCAACCUACCCUAGAGUGGGGAAUAACUAGCCGAAAGGUUAGCUAAUACCGCAUGAUACGUUUUGGGACAUCCCAGGACGUUGAAAGGAGCAAUCCGCUCGAGGACGGGACCGCGUCCGAUUAGCUAGUUGGUGAGGUAACGGCCCACCAAGGCUCCGAUCGGUAGCUGGUUUGAGAGAGCGACCAGCCACACUGGGACUGAGAAACGGCCCAGACUCCUACGGGAGGCAGCAGUGAGGAAUUUUCCGCAAUGGGCGAAAGCCUGACGGAGCGACGCCGCGUGUGGGAAGAAGGCCUUCGGGUCGUAAACCACUGUCGAAGGGGACUAUACUGAAGGUACCCUUGGAGGAAGCCCGGCUACUACGUGCCAGCAGCCGC
rnacentral:rRNA from 1 species